CGACUUUGGCCUGUUCGCUGCGUCCUACCGACUUGGGCCUGUUCACCGUCGCGGCGCUCUUGCAAAAAAGUCCCUGAUGAAUUACGUAUUGAACGCGUAGUUCUAUUUUAAGUCUAUAUAGAGAAAACGUUUUGUGGAUCGGCUUGGGCCUUACGAGCGAACAGAAAAAUAUAGGCGAACACGAGCACGAGGGCUCGCCUUCGAUGCGUGCGGGUACGCCGCCGCCGCCGCCGCUGCCGCACGCCGCCUCUCCGGCCAUCCGCUGCCGCUGACGCGCGCGGUCUCUCUGCCAUCCGCCGCCCUGUUCGCCUUCCCUUCCCCAUCCGUCUCAAUCUUCUCUGGCGCCACCUGAAGCCUCCUCAACCUGCAAGCUCCUGCCAUCAAGCCCUUCUAAUCUCGCUGGAACAUGGACUUAACCGGAACGCCGUCCUGCUAGCCGUGCCCACUUGAGCGAGGAGAGAGUGGUGAGGCGGCUUAGGUGAGGCUCAGGACGGCGUCUCGCAUGUAAGUACGCCACUCCUGCGUCUCUAUGCUAAUCCGAGUGCAGUACUCUGCACAAUGCUCUACUUCUUCCUCAAAAAUAUAUGUUGAAUGCCCCAUGACUGGUUUGCACUUCUGGUGUUCGACAGUAUGCCUAAGCAGUGACCGCAUCCACGAUGAUAUCCAGUUCUUUGUCUCGUGUAAGAGUAUUAUGAUAUAUGAGAUGCUUGAAUGAAGGGAUCCUUGGAUUGUGUGCAAUAACAGUUUGUGUAAAUAUCUGAGGGUAAAGACAGCUCACGUAGAUGCCUCUGUGACCAGACCUCUCUAUAUAUCCUUUUCUAUAAACUAAUAGUUGUCAUUGCCAUACUAAUUGUGUGCUUUUCUAUUAGAAAAUCUCAGGGUAAAGACAUCUCAUGGGGAUGCCUAUGUGACCAGACCUCUCUAUAUAUCCUUUUCUAUAAACUAAUAGAUGUCAUUGCCAUACUAAUUGUGUACUUUUCUAUUAGAAAAGCACAAGAGAUUUGCUUCUGUACUCCUAAUUAAUCUGGUUUAGUUUCAGCAUAAUUGUUCUCAGUCAUUAUCCUCAAAUAUUUAAUAUGAACUAAUGCAGUCACGACACCAUAUUUCUUCCCCUGCUAUACACUUAUAUCACUAUACCAAUUUAAAUAUAGGGAGCUGCCUAUGGACUUGGAAGCCUGAAAAAGGAAAAUAGUAAACAACUUUGAGUCUCACAAUCAAAAUUGAGACGAUAUUGUAUAUAUUUAAUUGGAAUUAUGUGAAAAUUGUAGUGUGCCUUAUCUAUUUCCUUAUCUGUUGUUAUGUAUUAUUUGUAUAGUUACUGUUUUUAAUGUUUAAUUUAACCUUAUGUAAUUUCUGAAAAAACUGAAAGAUGCAUAAAUGGAUAAGUAGGUGAAGAUAUUAUUGUUAUGCUGAUCAUGGAGGAUGGAUAUUUCUUUGAGCUUCUAUCGUCGAUAGGGACGCUGUAGUGAGAUUUCUAUCGAACUCAAGAUAUUGAAAGUUGAAGGUUGGCACUGGUGGGGCUUGCUUCUAUGAGCACUGUUAGCCAGAUAGUUAUAUUGUGAAACACUUGACAAAGAAGCUCUCUGUCAACUAUUAAAGCAUUGCCAAUUUCUGUCCUAAAGCUGAAUGUUUUUGUGGGCAAUUGGUUCAUAAAAGCAAUGGCAAGUGAGAACUACUAAAGCAUUGAGUGUCUCCUUGCCUCCCUCACGGGCUACACACGUUGCGACCUGCUCGGAUGCAACAUGCUGGUCUUCCAAGGAGCCGCCGCCGAGCACACCGGUGUUUCCGGGUUGUACGAGGCCCUGUAAACACUUAUAAUUUUAGUGAUGUUGGCACAACCUGACCUUGCUGAUGCGACAUGAGGAUUUUUUUUUCUAGCAAUCACGCACAUCUGAAGACUUACUGGACUACUUUCCGAACUGACCGGACGCGACAUGAUAGGCAAGUACAAAAGAGCUAGCUGAUUGAUUCACCAUACAAUUAUACUAUUAUCUGAAGGCACGAUUAGCUGCUGCUGGAAGUGUUGAUGUAUUGGUAUUGGCAGGUUUUGCCAGUACUUGAAAUGCCAUUUUAAGUAGAGGUAUUAGAGAUACGAAGUUCUAACUCUGUUCUUGUGCUAAUCUAAAAAUAAUUUGGUGAUUUCAAGUAGUUCUGAGAAUAUAAGUCUUAUCCCUUUUUUUAAUAAUGGUAAGAGCAUAGAUCUCAUCGACCAGGAAAUAAUCCAUCAGGUAAGCAAAACACUGAAUAAUCACCAUCUGUACGAAAUAGUACCUGCACAUAUUAUUUCCAUGAUGAAAAAAGUUGGUUUGUUUACUGUAAUGAACCACCUUAUGGCCUUUGUGUAUUCCAGGAACUACCAAGGUUUCGGAUCUUCCUGUUUGAUCCAAAAUGCAUAUACACAUGAUUAUGAUGGAGAUACUAUCUGAAGUUGCCAUCAACAGGAUUGAGCAAUGUGGCAUAUAAGCUUUAGCUUGCUGGUUCAUAUUAUCAGUGUUAAUCUUCUGGUCGUGGCAAUUUUUUAGACUUUUUGAGGUAGCUAAACUAAUCUGGUGUUAAGCUAUGAAGGAUUUUGCUUUUGGAAAGGUUACUGAAAGGAUACCUUAACUUUGUUUUAUCCCCUAGAUCAAUUUUUUUUCUGGAAAGGUUACUGAAAGAGUACCUUAACUUUCUUUCAUCCCCUAGAUCAGUUUAAGUAUGCUAAGCCCACGUUUAUUUAGAUGUAUAGCUUUGCAUGACAGUCUUGUUUUAACAGAUUAUUGGGGCAUUAUGCAAUGUAUAUUCUGCAUUUCUGCUCAUCAUUA